rnacentral:lncRNA from 1 species
AUUGAAUACUUGUACAAACUUUACUUGGUAAUAUUAACUUAACUUAUUACUAAUUUUGUAAGUUUAAUUAAUGUGAUAUAUUUACAAGUUUUUUAAGUUAGCUUUAACUUAUUACUGACCUCGUACAAAAUUUUAAAAGAUAAUUACACAUAAAAAAAUUAUUCCAUCAUAUGGUCUAUUAAAGCUUAAAAAUGAAAACUUCAUCCUCCU